ACUUCCUUCAUAAGUUUCCUCCACAAUUACCCAGAAAUUCAACCAAAAUAUCUUGUUAGGCCCAGAAAAUCAAUUCACAUUCCUCUGUGUGAACUCAAAUAAAUUUUCGGCUGCACUUACUUAUAAUUGAGAUCUGAACUCAUUUUGCAGAAAAAAACACAAUAUAUCUCUUUACAUUUUCUACGAUGAAGCAAAGAGAUGAGUGCUUUGUAUUUGCUGAGGAAAUACCCAAACGCAGCUAAGUUCUGCAAAAACUUCUCCAUCACUUGCUUGAUGUUCGCCAUGGCUUUUGCUGCAUUUUGCUUUUUGUAGAUUCGAAAGUUGUUAUUUGUACCUACCUAUGUGAUUUAUGUUAAAGUUACUCAACUCAUAUGAAGUUUUCGUAGCUUGUUUUUUUUCUUGAUUAUAAUAACAAUAUAUAUAUGUAUCAAAAAUAUUAGUAUUUUACUGAAUUCGUAUGAAGUUAUCGUUUUACCUUUUCGA